GUCCCUGUACUGCGGUAUGACAGAACUGUGGGGACACGUAAGGAAAGCGGAAGCCGGGAAUGGAAAGCCCGGUGCAAGCGGGGUACCAGUCACUUUGGCAAAUCCGGGUGGCAAUGGGAAGCCGUGAUGCGGAGCGAAAUAAAGUAGCGAUGUCCGUGAGCCAUGCGUCAAGAAAAGCCGCUAUCGUUUAUACCGUACCCGUACCGUAAACCGACACAGGUGGAUGAGGAGAGAAUCCUAAGGCCGGCGGAAGAAGCAUUGUCAAGGAACUCGGCAAAAUGGCCCCGUAACUUAGGGAUAAGGGGUGCCUGGGAAACCAGGCCGCAGAGAAUAGGCUCAAGCAACUGUUUAGCAAAAACACAGGUCUAUGCGAAACCGAAAGGUGAGGUAUAUGGGCUGACGCCUGCCCGGUGCUGGAAGGUUAAGAGGAGAGGUUAGCGCAAGCGAAGCUUUGAAUUUAAGCCCCAGUAAACGGCGGCCGUAACAAUAACGGUCCUAAGGUAGCGAAAUUCCUUGUCGGGUAAGUUCCGACCCGCACGAAAGGCGUAAUGAUUUGAGCGCUGUCUCGACAAUGCAUCCGGUGAAAUUGAAGUACCAGUGAAGAUGCUGGUUACCUGCGCCAGGACGGAAAGACCCCAUGGAGCUUUACUCCAGUUUGGUACUGGGACUCGGUAUUGCAUGUACAGGAUAGGUGGGAGGCUAGGAGACAGUAACGCCAGUUAUUGUGGAGCCGCUGUUGGGAUACCACCCUUGCAGUAUUGGGUUUCUAACCAGCCGCCGUGACCCGGCGGUGGGACAAUGCCAGACGGGGAGUUUGACUGGGGCGGUCGCCUCCGAAAGGGUAUCGGAGGCGCCCAAAGGUUCCCUCAGAAUGGACGGAAACCAUUCGAAGAGUGCAAAGGCAGAAGGGAGCUUGACUGCGACACCGACGGGUGGAGCAGGUACGAAAGUAGGGCUUAGUGAUCCGGUGGUAUUAAGUGGGAAUGCCAUCGCUCAACGGAUAAAAGCUACCCUGGGAUAACAGGCUUAUCACUCCCAAGAGUUCACAUCGACGGAGUGGUUUGGCACCUCGAUGUCGGCUCAUCGCAUCCUGGGGCUGUAGUAGGUCCCAAGGGUUGGGCUGUUCGCCCAUUAAAGCGGUACGCGAGCUGGGUUCAGAACGUCGUGAGACAGUUCGGUCCCUAUCCGGCGUGGGCGUAGGAUAUCUGAGAGGAGCUGUCCUUAGUACGAGAGGACCGGGAUGGACGGGCCCUGGUGCAUCGGUUAGACUGCCAAGUCUACGGCCGAGUAGCCAAGCCCGGAAGGGAUAAACGCUGAAGGCAUCUAAGCGUGAAGCCCCCCUUAAGAUGAGAUAUCCCAUUCGAAAGAAGUAAACCCCCUUGAAGACGACGAGGUAGAUAGGGCAGAGGUGGAAGUGUGGCAACACAUGGAGCUGACUGUUACUAAUCGGGUGAGGGCUUGACCUA
rnacentral:rRNA from 1 species